rnacentral:lncRNA from 1 species
AUGACUUGCAUGAAGAUGUUGGUAUCCUGCAUCUGUUUCCCUGUUUUGCCAGAUGCUUUGAGCUCAACAGGUCGCCAAGAGCAGGCAGUGAAACCCCAAACCUUCAGCGGUGGCUUUGGAUGCCUGCAGCAGCCAGGGCUUCUCUGGCCACCUGUGUGUUUGCGGCUUUUAAGUGCCUGCCCAGACCCUGACGUUUCAAGCGUUUUAGCAGUGGCUAUUGGAAUGGUGCUUCCCCAUUGUUUAUUUUAACCAGUGAUUAAUCAAGACCCUGUGAUUCUGUUGCUUGCUGUUCAUGGACAGCCUUGCUCUACUGUCUUGAAAAUAAUCACUGGUUAAAACUUCUCAGUGCUACACAAUAGUCUGAAAUUUUAGCUAUAGAUUUAAGAUGUUGCUAAAUUGCAUAGAUGUUGAGAUGAAGGUGUUAGUUUAGUUAGGCUUUCAAAUGUACGUGUCAAUGGAGCCUAUGUCUUGGCAGAAUAGGAAAUCAUAUAUUUAUCCUUUGGCCAAGGGCUGGCCGCAGUGCAGUUUAUAUAGACAGUGACACAGCAAAUCUUUCCAAUCAGUAAACCACAAACCUUAGUCUUACUCUGCAGGACCACACUUUUCCAGUCUAAAGAGAAAAUCAUGUAAUUCUGACAGUGUUUGUCACACAGCAUCUGUACAGCCUAGAGUAUGACUCAGUAUGACUGAGCCAGUUGAAUGCACAGGCACUUGUCUCUUGGAGUUCUGACCACUUUCCUCAAAAUACCUGUUUUAACCUUAGCUACAGUGGAUAAUAGUCAACACAUUUCUACAUUUAAUUAGUUUGGCUGCAUGUUAUUCUAUACACCUAUUAAUCAUACUGUAAAAUAUUUAUUGAUGUAACCUUCUUGUAAUUACCUAUUAUGACUUGCUGAUGUAUUCUUUAUCUAAGAAAGAAGAAACUUCUCUUUCUUUUUACUUUGCCAUAGAAGUACAAGUUACUUACAUUCAUAAGCAAAAGCAGGGUGAGUAAAAAUCAGUACUUUUAUGUUGAACUGAAUUUUGAUGUCACUACUACUACAGUGGGCCUCUGAUAAAGGACUGUCAGUGUUUCUAAAUGGCUGCAAUAAAAAAACCCAAAAACACAAACCCUUUGCUCCUCUGCAGGGUGUUUAAAGCAUUUUGUGUUAGUAAAGCCUGCUAUUUUGAAUGAGUUUUAUAUCAAGACCAGAAAAUACGUGACCUGGCUUUAUUAGUUUUGCAGCAAGUCAGACUUUGGGAAUGUUAUGGUUAUCUUCUUUGUGCCUUGGAUAACUAAUCUGCAGGGAAAAGGCUAUCUUGACCUAUUUCAGAAGAUUGUUGUAAUUAUAGAUGUGUUACUGUCUGUAAAUAAAUUUGAGACCUUGUAGAAACGUUUUUAGAAGUCUAAGUUUUCACAACUGAUGUUUUGACCAUUUUUCCACUUAUUAUUCAUUGCCAAAACUUCUCCUCUUCUUUGGGGAAUUUAUUUUCACUGCCGAAUCUACCAAUCUUUUCUUUCACCCAGUGCCCUUAAAAAGCCUGACAAAGAACUAAGAAAUUUUAAACCUUUUAGCUGCUGAAGUGUCUUCUUGGAAAUGAAACUUUAAAAAGUAUGUUACUGCUUGGAUUAAGAAGGGCUGCAUUGUUGGUUAGAGAGAGCUCCCAUAAAUGCUGUGUGGAAGCAUCUCAUAGCAAACAAUGGAUACUGGAAAGGAAAUUAACAGUGAUCCAUUGAUUUCUUACUACACUUCUGAACUGUUUGUCUGUUUUCAGCUUCUAAACAGUGAAUCAAUACACAGACAAGUCUUGAUCUCAUAGAAUAAUCGCUGGUAUGCAGCAGCACAUCUUGUGGUUAGGGCAAUAGAGGGAAUUUAGGAAGAACUGUAUUCCAAUUACUUGUUCAGCCACUAUGGCAUUAGAAAAACCCUUUCACUUGUUUUAGUUCACUUCCUUUAUAUAUAUAUAUAUUUAUUUUUUAUUUUUUUUCUGAGGGGGGGGUUAGAUUUUGUGGACAUUUUUCUAGGGGUAUUUUAUCCUCCGUUUUCUUUUGCCAAGCUCAGCACAAGGCCUGCCUGGACAGAGUGGUCAUAUCUACAUAGCUCCAUCCCCUGUGUCCAUUACUGUAGGAAAAGCAGCCUAAUAGGUUUUUAUUGUUAUAUUGGUUGUACUGUAGAGGAAUAGAGGCAAAAAUUAUAUGUUCUUUUAACUAUUUUCAAGUUAAUUCCUUGGCUUGAUGGAUGUUGCAGAGUAAUUUCAUGGUCUUUGAAAACCAAAAUCUAUGAUGAAGAGCACAAAAAAAGUCAAAAUUUCUCCCUGGAAAAAAUCCCAAAACCAAAUAAAAAACAGUACCCCAGCCAAAAAAUAGAAGAAUCAAGGUCAGAAAUAGUUACUAGAAAAAUACGAUAAGCAAAAGAAAAAGGGAAUGCUAUAUAUUAUACCCAGAAAACACAAGUGUAUGAGUUUUGGUCAUCAAAUGCAGGAGGUGUUGAGGAGGUGGCCAUCAGCAAUAUAUGUCUUUCUUGCCUCUUACUUGUUUCUUCAGUUUCUUAGCAAAGAGCUGUUAAACCUAUAAGCAGGCUUCAUGAUGGAACUCUGCCUAGUUCCAAUCUCAGAUACAUACUCUUAAUGGUUUCCUUUAUUUUGCUCUGUGUCUGCAGUAGUGCGUAGCUUUGUGCAGGCACAGCAAACCUGCUGAUCCAAGGUUUCAACAGUGAGUUUCCUCGUGAAUGUUUUCUG